rnacentral:rRNA from 1 species
GAUGAACGUUAGCGGGAGGCUUAAUACAUGCAAGUCGAGCGGUAAGUUUUUAUAGCAAUAUGAAGACCUAGAGCGGCGCACGGGUGAGUAACGCGUACACGACCUGGCCUAAACUGGGGGGAUAGCCUUGGGAAACUGAGAGUAAUCCCGCAUGUGAUUAUGUUACUGAUGGUGAUAUAAUUAAAGCUUCGGCGGUUUAGGAUGGGUGUGCGUCUGAUUAGCUAGUUGGUAGUGUAACGGACUACCAAGGCGAUGAUCAGGUAGGGGGCGUGAGAGCGUGACCCCCCCACACGGGUACUGAGACACGGACCCGACUCCUACGGGAGGCAGCAGUAAGGAAUAUUGGUCAAUGCCCGGAAGGGUGAACCAGCCAUCCCGCGUGAAGGAUGAAGGGGCUCUGCCUUGUAAACUUCUUUUGUAUGGGGCGAAAAAGGGGAUUUAUCCUCGACUGACGGUACCAUAAGAAUAAGCACCGGCUAACUCCGUG